rnacentral:misc_RNA from 1 species
UCAAAAUAGCGGACUUCGGUCCUUGCUAUACCCUUGUCUUUUGCGUACCGUAUGUUUCCUCGGCGGGCUUGCCUGCCGGUUGGACAUUAUCAAACCUUUUUGUAGUUGCAAUCAGCGUCAGACAAUAAAUAAUAAUUA